rnacentral:rRNA from 1 species
GAUGAACGCUGGCAGCGUGCCUAAUACAUGCAAGUCGAGCGAACAGACGAGGAGCUUGCUCCUCUGACGUUAGCGGCGGACGGGUGAGUAACACGUGGAUAACCUACCUAUAAGACUGGGAUAACUUCGGGAAACCGGAGCUAAUACCGGAUAAUAUAUUGAACCGCAUGGUUCAAUAGUGAAAGCCGGUUUUGCUGUCACUUAUAGAUGGAUCCGCGCCGCAUUAGCUAGUUGGUAAGGUAACAGCUUACCAAGGCAACGAUGCGUAGCCGACCUGAGAGGGUGAUCGGCCACAUUGGACCUGAGACACGGUCCAGACUCCUACGGGAGGCAGCAGUAGGGAAUCUUCCGCAAUGGGCGAAAGCCUGACGGAGCAACGCGGCGUGAGUGAUGAAGGUCUUCGGAUCGUAAAACUCUGUUAUUAGGGAAGAACAAAUGUGUAAGUAACUAUGCACGUCUUGACGGUACCUAAUCAGAAAGCCACGGCUAACUACGUG